AGCAAGCUCUAUUAAAUUAUUACAGGAGUAUUUUUGGUAUUCUUCCUAGGUAAAUUUAUUUCAUGUGCGUGGUGUCUGCUCACACAUUCUGCAAACAGUUUUCACAUACUGCCCUUUGGCCCAAAGUAAUUUGUGUUCAGAUCUGACAAUGUUACAUCCAAUGCAGAAGGCAUAUCCCAAGAUUGAAGAAUGAUUACUUGUGCUGUUAGAAGUGUUCAUGGAGGAAAUAAUGUAUGCUGAAUUUAGAGAACUAUCUGCAGUUUUAUGCUGGGGGCUCCUUACACCCAUGGCCCUUGCCUUGUGACUUUGAGUUCUGAACUAAUGUCAGUUCUGUGAAAAAAAAUAAGUUUGUCAUUAGAGAACAUGUGCUCUGAGUCUGGAGAUUGAAACACAGAGAGGAAGAGGGAGUGUUG